UACUUUACCGAUUUGAUUUUUAUUUGGAGGGAGUUAAUUUCCACUGCCCAAGUUUACACGGCUUGACUUCUCAGACGAAAUACCCGGCAGAAAAUUCGGAAGAAAUCCGACGAAAAAUAGCGGGAUUGGAACCGGAUGGCGGAGAACCAUGGUGGCGGUGGCGGAGAAGCGGCGGCCCCCAGGGCUGGCCCGCCGCGGCGGCCCAGCAUCUCCCUCCCGCCCCGCUCUGCCUACGAGUCCCUCUUCCAGGGCGGCGCCGCUGGCGGUGGGGGCCCGUCGGAGGUCAGCCCAGGCCCGCUGACGCUGGUGUCGAGCUUCUUCGCCGAGGACGCCGACUCGGGGUUCCAAUCCUUCACGCAGCUACUUCAGGGGGCGAUGAAUUCCCCCGUGGGAGCGGCGCCGCCCCGGCGGCCGAUUGGGCAGGAGGAGAAGGAGGCGGAGAGGGCUUCGAGGGGUGGUGUGGAGAGAAGAGAGGAGGGUGGGUUGGGGCGGCAGAACCGGCCUCCGGGCCUGGACAUAGCUCAGCCUCCUCAGAUCUUCGCGGUGCCGCCAGGACUCAGCCCAACUUGUUUGCUGGGUUCUCCUGCUCUCUUUUCACCCGGUGUGGGGAACUUUGGAAUGUCCCAUCAACAGGCGCUGGCCCAAGUCACAGCCCAGGCUGCCCAGUUUCAGUUUAAAGUGCUCAAUCAUGCUGAAUAUCCAUCUUGCCUUUCAGUGGCAACAGCUACAUCCUUGGCACAAGACAAUGUGACACCAAUCCAAGAAAUGUCGACUCUGACAUCAAACACCGAUAAUAACACCUUGAAAUCCACAGAGGGUCCUCAUUCUGAUCGGAGAUCUCAACCUACAGCCGUUAUUGUUGAUAAACCUGCUGAUGAUGGCUAUAAUUGGAGAAAAUAUGGACAGAAGAUGGUGAAGGGCAGUGAAUAUCCUCGUAGCUACUACAGAUGUACGCAUCCAAACUGUCCAGUUAAGAAAAAGGUGGAGCACUCCCUUGAUGGCCAAAUAACUGAGAUAAUCUAUAAGGGUCAACACAAUCAUCGGCAGCCCCAACCAAAUAAGCAUGCCAAGGAAGGUGGUACUUUGCCAAGUGGGUCUAAUGAAUUUAACGGGAAUGCUGGUAUUCCUGCUAACUCUGAACCAGGUUCCCUGGUUUACCCUGGAAACUUCAGCAGAUCAAAUGAGACUAUGGCUGCUCCUUCAGCAUCUAAGGGAGAUUAUGGAACAGCUGAACAAUUAUCUGGUGCUAGCGACAGUGAAGAAGCGGGCAAUGUUGAACUGAGAACAGAUGAAGGUGGUGAUGACGACCCUGAUUCUAAAAGAAGGAACAUAUCAGCUUCUUCACAAAGGACAGUGGCAGAACCUAGGAUCAUUGUUCAGACAACAAGUGAGGUUGAUCUUCUGGAUGAUGGUUAUAGGUGGCGCAAGUAUGGGCAGAAAGUGGUAAAAGGAAAUCCUCACCCAAGGGAUCUAAAAUCUUCAUGCUGAUAAAGAUGCAAAAAGAAGAGGCUUUGUGGUGUUUCAAUGAGUGAACAAUGGUUGGACUUGCCUUCUAAAUCCUUCUGGCAGUCAUCGAUAGCUCUGUACCAUUCUAUUGGUAUGCCACAGCUCUGGGUGCAGACAUGAAUGCAAAUCUGGACCACUGAAUUAAUGGACUAAGCGACUUGGAUGUCCAGGCAUUUGAUGGAGAUCUUUAUCAGAAUAUCAGAUGACGGUAAAAUUUUCUUGCGAGCACCAUGGAGUUUCCAUCAGUAGCACACGUCCUGGAAGCCUGGUUGACAGAAGUCCUGGUAGGUGCAACAUUAAUCCUGGGGUAGUUCAGCCAACGGACACUUGAAGGUCCUUGUGGAGGUCUCAGGAAGAACAUUUUCCAAGUUAUAUGACCUAGGAUUCUUGCUCUUAUGGUGUUUCAACCCCUUGAUUGGAUUUUCUGCACUCCAGCUACGUGGGAAAGGAAAAUGGUGGCGAAAAGAAAAAGGCAAAGGUGAUUGAAAAGCUUCUUGGCAAAAGGCUGAGGCUAAAGAGUAAGGAGUGAAGAGCUAAGGUGCAAAGAGCAGUUCCCUUCUCUCGUUAAUUGUCAUGCUUUACUUUCUGCAUGAGAUCUUUGCGGUCUUCUUUUCAUUAAUGUUGUCAAAGUUGAAAAUUAAGAUGCAGACUUGAUUACUUCGGCAAGUCAGUUUUUACAUUAAAUAAGUACAACAGGGAGCUUAUGAGCAA